CCUACGGGUGGCAGCAGUGGGGAAUAUUGGGCAAUGGGCGCAAGCCUGACCCAGCAACGCCGCGUGAAGGAAGAAGGCUCUCGGGUUUUAAACUUCUUUUUACAGGGAAGAGCAGAAGACGGUACCUGUCGAAUAAGCCCCGGCUAACUAAGGGCCAGCAGCCGCGGUAAUACGUAGGGGGCAAGUGUUAUCCGGAUUUACAGGGUGUAAAGGGGGCGCAGGCGGGGAUGGAAGCCAGGGGUGAAAGCGCGGGGCCCAACCCCGGGACUGCUCUUGGAACUGCGUGGCUGGAGUGAAGGAGGGGCAGGCGGAAUGCCUGGUGUAGCGGUGAAAUGCGUAGAUAUCAGGAGGAACACCGAUGGCGAAGGCGGCCUGCUGGACUGCAACUGACGUUGAGGCCCGAAAGCGUGGGGAGCAAACAGGAUUAGAUACCCGAGUAGUC
rnacentral:rRNA from 1 species